CUCGUCUCUGCUCUCUCUCCCAUUUCUCCUCAUCGCUCUACACCACUUCGCCAUCACUCUCACAAUCUGAUGCUCUCCUUGGCAUGGGUAAGUACUUCAACCAACAAUUUUGAUAUUUUGGGAGGUUGAUGAAGCUUUUCACAACUUUGUUCUCAGAAGAUCGACGAGGCUUUUCGACGAAUUUGAUAUAUAUUAUGUUCUUUGACUUUAAAGUUUAAAUUAAUCACUAUUCUCUGUUUAUGUCAUUUUACGUUUUGGAUUUAGCGCAUCAGAGUUUUUUUAAUAUAAUAUGGCAAGUAGCUAAAUCCCUAACUAUCUAUAGUUCAAUUUCACCAUAGAGAUUGAAUUUUUAGUCAUUGAUACAUUGCUCACAAGAGGCCUAGUUGCUCUACUCUGCAUUUCAUUGUUUCAUUUGUGUUAGAUUGAUUAUUAAUGAUCGUCGGAUUCUUGUUCGGGAGCACGAGGAAACAAUUUUAUUUUCCUUAUUGGAUUUUGAUUGAUAUCCUUAAAUGUAAUUGAUUAGUUUCAUUGUUUGAAUAGUAUAAUUUUGAUAAAAUGUGAGCAUAAGAAAGUUAGAUUAAAUAAUAGGAUUGGAAGUAGGUUUAUUUUUGGGGAGUUCUUUGUUUAAGUUAUUUUCUGAAAUUUGUUGUAUUUACAGUGCAAGAAAACUGUUUGAUAAAAUAUCUCAAAGACAAAUUGACUUGGAGAUAAAGUAAUAGUUGAGGAAGCAACAAGAUGAAGCAGAGAAAUGGUUUUGAGCUUUGAAUAUGUAAUUGGGAUAUGUAGCUGACACACCUUUGUGAAUAUAUGGAGUAAUUUGAAUAUGUAGUUGAAUAUAAUAUAUGAUAUGUAGCUGACACGACUUUGUUAAUAUACAGAGUGAUUGCUGCUAAUUUAAGAAGUGGUUUUCAGCUUUGAGUAAACAGGAAUUUACUCUCCAAGAUAAAGAAUCCACAAAAUGAUACCAUUGAAGUUGGGCCUAGAGAUUUAAAGCUGACCUUUUCGUCUACCUCAGGACAACUAAAACAGAUGUACAAUUCUAAAACUGAGGUAUAUUGAGAUGAUUUCUUUGGAGCAAUUCUUGACAACAUUUGUAGUUGAGGCCUUUAGAAUGGAAGAAUGUAUUUCACUAAUUUUUGUAUACAUUUCUUGUUUUGUAUUUAGUGAUAAAGGAAUCUGAAUUUGGCAUAAAUUAUGUUGUAAUAUGAUUUCUUAAGCCUAGA